rnacentral:misc_RNA from 1 species
CCGAGUUUUCUACAACUCCCAAACCCCUGUGAACUUAUACCUUUACUGUUGCUUCGGCGGGUCAUCGCCCCGGGGAAGGACAAGGGAAGCCGGCAGCGGCCCCCCCUUGGAAGCCCCCCCGGAACCAGGCGCUCGCCGGGGGACUCAAACUCUGUAUUCCAUCUGUACUGUAUUGUAUACCGUCUGAGUGACAAAAACUAUAAUGAAUCA